UACGGAGGAUCCAAGCGUUAUCCGGAUUCACUGGGUUUAAAGGGUGCGUAGGUGGAAUGACAAGUCAGUGGUGAAAACCUGCAGCUUAACUGUAGAACUGCCAUUGAUACUGUUAUUCUUGAGUACAUUUGAUGUGAGUGGAAUGUGUCGUGUAGCGGUGAAAUGCUUAGAUAUGACACAGAACACCAAUUGCGAAGGCAGCUCACAAAACUGUAACUGACACUGAGGCACGAAAGCGUGGGAUCAAACAGGG
rnacentral:rRNA from 1 species